GUCCACAUAGCUUACACCCAAAGCAUGGCACUGAAGCUGCCAAGACGGCACAGACAUGCCUGCGGACA
rnacentral:tRNA from 1 species